rfam:Vitrella brassicaformis CCMP3155 genome assembly, contig: scaffold28
CCGGUGAUAGCUCAGUUGGUAGAGCGUCUGACUGUAGCUGCGGGGAUAUCAGAUGGUCGGCUGUUCGAUUCAGUCUCACCGGA